CAGCCGCCGCGGGAAUACGGAGGGAGCUAGCGUUGUUCGGAAUUACUGGGCGUAAAGCGCGCGUAGGCGGUUACUCAAGUCAGAGGUGAAAGCCCGGGGCUCAACCCCGGAACUGCCUUUGAAACUAGGUGACUAGAAUCUUGGAGAGGUCAGUGGAAUUCCGAGUGUAGAGGUGAAAUUCGUAGAUAUUCGGAAGAACACCAGUGGCGAAGGCGACUGACUGGACAAGUAUUGACGCUGAGGUGCGAAAGCGUGGGGAGCAAACAGUAUUAGAUACCCCGGUAGUCCCUGCCUCUUAUAC
rnacentral:rRNA from 1 species